rnacentral:rRNA from 1 species
CCAGACUCCUACGGGAGGCAGCAGUGGGGAAUAUUGGGCAAUGGGCGCAAGCCUGACCCAGCAACGCCGCGUGAAGGAAGAAGGCUUUCGGGUUGUAAACUUCUUUUGUCAGGGACGAAGCAAGUGACGGUACCUGACGAGUAAGCCACGGCUAACUACGUGCCAGCAGCCGCGGUGAUACGUAGGUGGCAAGCGUUAUCCGGAUUUACUGGGUGUAAAGGGCGUGUAGGCGGGACUGCAAGUCAGAUGUGAAAACCACGGGCUCAACCUGUGGCCUGCAUUUGAAACUGUAGUUCUUGAGUACUGGAGAGGCAGACGGAAUUCCUAGUGUAGCGGUGAAAUGCGUAGAUAUUAGGAGGAACACCAGUGGCGAAGGCGGUCUGCUGGACAGCAACUGACGUUGAGGCGCGAAAGCGUGGGGAGCAAACAGGAUUAGAUACCCUGGUA